CCCCCCUGGCAAUGGGCAAGGGGACACCUUGUUGGUGGUGGUGUUCUUAUACAUCAGUUAGGGGCAGGCAGAUGGCAGUCCUGGGUUCAUCCUAGCUGGAUGCCUGGCUUGGUGGCCAAAGCUGUUUUAUGCCUAGGACACAAAA